rnacentral:rRNA from 1 species
AGUGAACGCUGGCGGUAGGCCUAACACAUGCAAGUCGAACGGCAGCACAGUAAGAGCUUGCUCUUACGGGUGGCGAGUGGCGGACGGGUGAGGAAUACAUCGGAAUCUACUUUUUCGUGGGGGAUAACGUAGGGAAACUUACGCUAAUACCGCAUACGACCUACGGGUGAAAGCAGGGGAUCUUCGGACCUUGCGCGAUUGAAUGAGCCGAUGUCGGAUUAGCUAGUUGGCGGGGUAAAGGCCCACCAAGGCGACGAUCCGUAGCUGGUCUGAGAGGAUGAUCAGCCACACUGGAACUGAGACACGGUCCAGACUCCUACGGGAGGCAGCAGUGGGGGAUAUUGGACAAUGGGCGCAAGCCUGAUCCAGCCAUACCGCGUGGGUGAAGAAGGCCUUCGGGUUGUAAAGCCCUUUCGUUGGGAAAGAAAAGCAGCAGGUUAAUACCCCGCUGUUCUGACGGUACCCAAAGAAUAAGCACCGGCUAACUUCGUG